UUAUUGUUUCAUUUAUUAUUGUUUAUAUUUUGAUGUAAUUGAUACGUUAUUGCCCUUGUAUGUUCUUGUUCUAAAACUGCAAUAAAAAAAAAAUAAAAAAAAAGAUCAAUGCACACUCUAAGUGCUAAUAUUGCCCACAACCCAUUGCGUACGGGAGGGAGGAGCUUUGCGAUGGCUUGACAUACAGGCGUGCGUACAUCUCGUAAGGAGUUAUAACGUGAAAUAAUGACACAGACUGGAUACACCAUCUCAUCUGCAGUAGAGACUGUUGUAUCAGAAGGACAGCGCGUUUAUUUGAGGCACUUUUCACUUCAACUGUGCCUGACAGGGGAAUUGGCUUUUCUGAGCCUUCUAACCGUUGAGUUACCAUGGCAACCGCGUAACUGUUACACAUCAGCUGCUGGAGAGGAGAGGACUCGUCUGACAUUUUCUCUGUUUCUCGUCAGUUAUACCAAAGAAAAGGCCAACAAUUGCGAAAGAUUGGUUAAGUAACACGUUAAUAUUAUCCACAUUCUACUUUAAGUACUUUUUGUUAAUAUUUAUACCUCUGUGAUUAUGGUAUUUUUCCUGAAAUGUCUGCUAUCAAGUAUUACGCUAGCAUAGAAACAUAAUUAACGUCAUAGCAUAUUCGAUUUGAGCUCUUAUUAAUGAAAGUUUGGG
rnacentral:lncRNA from 1 species